rnacentral:rRNA from 1 species
GACGAACGCUGGCGGCGCGCCUAACACAUGCAAGUCGAACGAGCGAGAGAGAGCUUGCUUUCUCGAGCGAGUGGCGAACGGGUGAGUAACGCGUGAGGAACCUGCCUCAAAGAGGGGGACAACAGUUGGAAACGACUGCUAAUACCGCAUAAGCCCACGGGUCGGCAUCGACCAGAGGGAAAAGGAGCAAUCCGCUUUGAGAUGGCCUCGCGUCCGAUUAGCUAGUUGGUGAGGUAACGGCCCACCAAGGCGACGAUCGGUAGCCGGACUGAGAGGUUGAACGGCCACAUUGGGACUGAGACACGGCCCAGACUCCUACGGGAGGCAGCAGUGGGGAAUAUUGCACAAUGGGGGAAACCCUGAUGCAGCGACGCCGCGUGGAGGAAGAAGGUCUUCGGAUUGUAAACUCCUGUUGUUGAGGAAGAUAAUGACGGUACUCAACAAGGAAGUGACGG